GUAGGUGGCAAGCGUUGUCCGGAAUUAUUGGGCGUAAAGCGCGCGCAGGCGGUCCUUUAAGUCUGAUGUGAAAGCCCACGGCUCAACCGUGGAGGGUCAUUGGAAACUGGGGGACUUGAGUACAGAAGAGGAAAGCGGAAUUCCAAGUGUAGCGGUGAAAUGCGUAGAGAUUUGGAGGAACACCAGUGGCGAAGGCGGCUUUCUGGUCUGUAACGGACGCUGAGGCGCGAAAGCGUGGGGAGCAAACAGGAUUAGAUACCCUGGUAGUCCACGCCGUAAACGAUGAGUGCUAAGUGUUAGGGGGUUUCCCGCCCCCUUAGUGCUGCAGCUAACGCAUUAAGCACUCCGCCUGGGGAGUACGGCCGCAAGGCUG
rnacentral:rRNA from 1 species